rnacentral:rRNA from 13 species
AUCAGGUAACACAAAUUAUAAAAUAAAUAAAAUAAUAUAAAUAAAAUAAAAAACACGGAGUCCUUACUU